rnacentral:misc_RNA from 1 species
AAGUCGUAACAAGGUUUCCGUAGGUGAACCUGCGGAAGGAUCAUUACAAAUCCAUCCACGUCUCAUACUUUCCAUUGAGACCACGUUGAAAUGUUCUGCUGGGGGAGGUGGGGGCGCUUUGUCGCCGCUGCCGCCGCCAGCACCAAUUUUUUAUCACACCUGUGACACGUUGCUCAUAUGUAUGCUUCUUGUAACAAAGAAACAACUUAUAACAAUGGAUCUCUAGGCUCUU